GAUGAACGCUGGCGGCGUGCCUAAUACAUGCAAGUCGAGCGAAUGGAUUAAGAGCUUGCUCUUAUGAAGUUAGCGGCGGACGGGUGAGUAACACGUGGGUAACCUGCCCAUAAGACUGGGAUAACUCCGGGAAACCGGGGCUAAUACCGGAUAACAUUUUGAACCGCAUGGUUCGAAAUUGAAAGGCGGCUUCGGCUGUCACUUAUGGAUGGACCCGCGUCGCAUUAGCUAGUUGGUGAGGUAACGGCUCACCAAGGCAACGAUGCGUAGCCGACAUGAGAGGGUAAUGGACACAGCGGGGACUGGGACACGGCCAAGACGCCUACGGGAGGGAGCAGUAGGGAAUCUUCCGCAAUGGACGAAAGUCUGACGGAGCAACGCCGCGUGAGUGAUGAAGGCUUUCGGGUCGUAAAACUCUGUUGUUAGGGAAGAACAAGUGCUAGUUGAAUAAGCUGGCACCUUGACGGUACCUAACCAGAAAGCCACGGCUAACUACGUGCCAGCCGCCGCCGUAA
rnacentral:rRNA from 1 species